rnacentral:rRNA from 1 species
UGGGGAAUUUUGGACAAUGGGGGAAACCCUGAUCCAGCCAUCCCGCGUGUGCGAUGAAGGCCUUCGGGUUGUAAAGCACUUUUGGCAGGAAAGAAACGUCAUGGGUUAAUACCCCGUGAAACUGACGGUACCUGCAGAAUAAGCACCGGCUAACUACGUGCCAGCAGCCGCGGUAAUACGUAGGGUGCAAGCGUUAAUCGGAAUUACUGGGCGUAAAGCGUGCGCAGGCGGUUCGGAAAGAAAGAUGUGAAAUCCCAGAGCUCAACUUUGGAACUGCAUUUUUAACUACCGGGCUAGAGUGUGUCAGAGGGAGGUGGAAUUCCGCGUGUAGCAGUGAAAUGCGUAGCUAUGCGGAGGAACACCGAUGGCGAAGGCAGCCUCCUGGGAUAACACUGACGCUCAUGCACGAAAGCGUGGGGAGCAAACAGG